UAUUCAAAGUCAUUUCAAGAAUUAUAUUGGAAGAAAUCAAUCCACCAACUCAAGGUCCUGUGAGGAUUCAACCAACCCCAGUGAAUUUGGAGCGCUGAGAACUGGCAAAAGCAUCCCAUAAAAUUUCUGGAUCCCACAGGUACAGUUUGUUUGGUGAUUUAUGUAUAUAAAGAAUAACUUCUUCUGUUUAUAAGGUGACUCUUCAGGGGCCUCAGGCUCUGCUGAGAAAUCUGAGGGGAAAAUCAGGAUUGUAAAGAUUUUACAUGGUAAGGGGAUAUGCAAGGUGCCUGCAGGUCUGGAGCAGGACACACUGAUCCCAUAAGGAAAUGCAAAGACAGAUUGAAAUACCAGAUUUUGUAAUUAAAAAAUGUGGUGCUCAUCAAAACAUAAA